CCAUACCAACGAUAAGCCUGUCUUUCCCAUCACAUCAUGAAAGGUCAUGUUGAUGUUCAUUUAACCUCUGUCUCUGUCACGUCCUGACCAGUAAAGGGGGUUAUUUGGUGUUGUAGUUUGGUCAGGGAGUGGCAGGGGGUGUAUGUUUAGUGUGUUUCAGGAUUUUUGGGGUAAUGUUCUAUGUUAGUAUAUUUCUAUGUUUAGUCUAGCUUGUCUAUUUCUAUGUUUAGUUAAUUGGGUUGACCUUCAAUUGGAAGCAGCUGCUCCUCAUUGCUUCUAAUUUAAGGUCCUAUUUAUAGGGGUAUUUUUUUCCAUGGGAUUUGUGGGUAGUUGUUUCCUGUUUUGUGUUUGUUGCACCUGACAGGACAGGUUUUCGUCGGUGUUUGUUAUUUUGUUUAGUGUUCACAUUUCUUCUAAUAAAAAAGAAGAUGAGUAUACACAUUCCCGCUGCGUUUUGGUCCACUCCAGUCGACGAACGUGACAGUCCCUCUCUUCCUCUGACUCCUCCCUUUCUCCUUUGUUUCUCUCUGUUUCUCUCUAUCUCUUUCUCUCUCUUUCUCCUCUGUCUCUCUCUUUCUCCUCAGAUCUCCAGGCUCAAAGCGUCAGUCCACCAGCUGAACUCUCAGUCAGACUGGUGAAUGGGACCACUUCCUGUUCUGGGACAGUGGAAGUCUUCAAUGAAGGAGAGUGGUCAGGUCUAUGUACUAGGUGGUGGAGCAUGAGAGAGGUUAAGGUUGUGUGUAGAGAGCUGGACUGUGGAAACCCUGUAUCUGAAUCUAGAGGACCUCUGGUUGAAGAUGGAAGAAGAGGAGUCAGACUAUUUAGUAGUUGCUAUGGAAAUGAGUCUUCUAUUAGACAGUGUGACAUCAUAGAAGUAAGACCUGGUGUCUGUAUUGGUGGAUAUUAUCAUCAUGUGACCUGUUCAGAUCUCCUGGUCCAGCCUGAUAUCUCCCUGACUGACUCAAUGGGAGGGGUCUCCAGGGGCCACCAGGGGCCCGAGAUGUUCAGGGGCUAC
rnacentral:lncRNA from 1 species